rnacentral:rRNA from 1 species
UAUAUCAGUCAUGCAUAGCAUAUCAAUAAGCGGAGGAAAAGUAAAUGCUGUAUACCUACGCUUAGGAUGUUGAAGAUGUAGCACAUCAUACACGCAUGACACACUGCAUAUCAAUAAGCGGAGGAAAAGCGCAUUAAAGAUCCAGAUACCUACGCUUAGGAUGUUGAAGAUGUAGCACAUCAUACACGCAUGACACACUGCAUAUCAAUAAGCGGAGGAAAAGAAACUAACAAGGAUUCCCUUAGUAACGGCGAGUGAAGCGGGAAGAGCUCAAAUUUGAAAUCUUCAAGGUUUUACCUUGACGAAUUGUAGUUUAAAGAAGUGUUUUCUGUUGAAGUUUUGGUAAAAGUUCUUUGGAAUAGGACAUCAUAGAGGGUGAGAAUCCCGUAUUUGACCAUUAUUUUCAGCUGUGUGAUACACUUUCAAAGAGUCGGAUUGUUUGGGAAUGCAGUCCAAAAUGGGUGGUAAAUUUCAUCUAAAGCUAAAUAUUGGCGAGAGACCGAUAGCGAACAAGUACCGUGAGGGAAAGAUGAAAAGAACUUUGAAAAGAGAGUUAAACAGUACGUGAAAUUGUCAAAAGGGAAGCGUUUGACACCAGUGUUGUUUUCUCGAAAAUCAAUUAAAAAGAGUUGGAUUUUGUAUUGUAUUGAGACCUUAACAGCUUCACUGCUACAUCUUUUCGCUGUCUUUUUUAAUGCACUUUUCGUUUAACAAGUCAACAUCAGUUUCUUUUGUUGUAAAAGGGUCAUUGGAAGGUGGCUUUCUUUUCGGAGAAAGUGUUUAUAGCCUUUGAUCUCUGCAAUCGGAGAGACUGAGGUCUGCAGCGUAGAUCCUUCGGGGUUAGAUACAUUUGUGCUAAGUUAUAACUUUUCAUAGACAACUUGUUGACUAUGUUUUAGUCAUGUAGCUUACUCGCUUAUGCUAUUUUACCUACGCUUAGGAUGUUGAAGAUGUAGCACAUCAU